rnacentral:lncRNA from 1 species
UCUAAAGUUCGUAUUUAAAGCAUUAUUCAUUUAAAAUUUACUGUUAUAAUAUAGUAGAAUAUAUAUAUAUAUAUAUAUAUAUAUAUAUAUAUAAACAUCUACUUAUAAAAAAUAAAACAAAAAUAAGUAUAUUAUUUUAUUUUUCACAAAAACAUAUCGAGUACAAUGAAUAAAUUGUUCAUUUUAUCACUUUUCCUAUACACUGUUGCAGCUAUAGGACCAUCAGAUUCAGCGAGUAGAAGUUUUCGCAAGGAGUUAAAUGAACACUUGAAAAAGAGGCACUCAGGUAGUGGCUUUAAGAGGAAUCCCAGCUUAAAAGAUAGUAUUGCAUAUGAAAGAAAAAAUAAUUACGAGUUAUAUAUAGACGAAACAGGUCAACUAAAACAAGAACGUUACGGUGUAAGUGAACCAAGACAGGUAUUAAAAAAAUAUUUGCCAGACUUCAGAUAUUUAAUAAAUGACUUAGAAAUCCUUUUCGGAGUUUAUAAAUUCAAUGCAAGCGAUAAAGAAAAAGUAUUAAGAGAAACAUUAAAAAAAGAGUCACUAUGUUUUAGUAUUCUUGGAUUAUUGUUAGAUAAAAUAAAUGAAAUAAAGGUGAAUGAUUUAGCUAUUUAUGGCUUUGUGAUUGAGGGAAGUAGGGGAGUAAACAAUCACGUUAAGAAUGCACUAAAUAUAUAUAUAAUUUUAUCAAAUGUCAGUGUCCCAUUAGGUGUAUUUAGUUUUCCUGAGAAUAGCUAUUGGCCAUACCAAAUACCAUUUUUAGUUGGUCACUAUGAUAGAAAAGUUAAUUAUUCAAAGAAUUCUUCUUUUUCUUACAUUUGUUCUCUUCCACCAUUUUUAACUGAUGUUAUGAGAACUACGACCACGGGAUUAAAAUUUAAUUUCAACGGAGAGGAUUUAAAUGCAGAAUCAUUGUUUUCUGCUAGUUUACAAUAUGCUAUAAACAAUUCUAGUAAUUUACCAAUUUUAAAAGAAGAUAAAUAUGAAUUUGAAAGAACUCAACUGUUAGGUUUAAUUUAUAAUUCUAAAGAAGAAAUUCCACCUAGAAUGAUGAAAGAUAAUGGACCAGCAGGUAAAGCAAUAGUAGAUCCAAAUAAAAGAAUAUUAGCAAAUAAUAGUUUUUUUCACGCAAGAGAAGAAAUUAAAAACUUCCUAUCCAAGGCAAAAAAUGCUCACAUAAAAUCAAAUUUCUUAGCACUUUACUUUUUAUUUUUAAGUCAAAACUUAAAAUUUCCAGUAGAUGAUAAAACACCUAAUGAUAGAUCCAUAAAAAAAAUAAGAGUUAAUAAUGUGGGCAUCGAUGGUAGUGGAAACUUAAAAUCAUAUACUAUAUAUUUAGACUUAGUAAAUGGAAAAUCGAUAAGUGCAAACGGUUUUGUAAGUGGAAAAAUUAUACCAUUACCUAAAGAAAUGACAAGUCAUGGAGAUAUAACUUAUGAAGUUCCAUUAACAUUUGGAUUAGCAGUAGCAAACAAUGGAAAUGGUUUAACUUUUAGCUUUGGUAAUGCUGAGUAUAGUUUAAAAGAUGUAUUGCCAUAUAACAUAAAUAAUAUGUCUAUGAAUGUAGCUAAUAAAUAAAUUUGAAUUUAUUAUAAAAUAGAAAUAACAUUCUAUGAUAUAUAGGCUAUUAUAUUUGAUUUAAUUAUAGCACAUAUAUAUAUAUAUAUAUAUAUAUAUAAUUUGACUUUUUUGUAAUGUAUAUUUGUGUUUACUUACGUUUUAGUCUUUUUUUUUUUUUUUUUUUUCAUGUCUGAAAUGUUUAUAUAUAAGCAUUUUAUGCGUACCUUUUAUUACGCAUGUAAUAAUCUUAAAAAUAUAUACCUUUUUAUUAAUCACCUGUUUCUCUGUUUCCUUAAAAUUAAUGAUCUAUUAUUUUUAUUUUUUAUGUGUUUAUUAUAUUUUUAUUUUAUCAUUUCUUUUUAUUCGAUUUUAUUAAAAAUAAUAGAAUAAAAAAAAUAAAUAAUAAAAAAAAAAAAAAAAA